AUGACCUUCAUCAUCAUCUUCAUCUGGACUCUCACAGCGUUUGCUCAAGAGUGUAGAGGACAGAUCAGCGUCACUCAGAGUCCCUCAACAGCAGCUCAACCAGGAGAAACAGUGAAGAUCAGCUGCAAAACCAGCAAGGAUGUGUACAGAAGUACAACUUAUUCAGUGUACUUACUCAGCUGGUACUUACAGAAACCUGGAGAAGCUCCUAAACUCCUGAUUUAUGCUGCAAACACUCUCCAGUCAGGAACUCCAUCUAGAUUCAGUGGCAGUGGAUCUAACAGUGAUUUCACUCUGACCAUCAGUGGAGUCCAGACUGAAGAUGCUGGACAUUAUUACUGUCAGAGUUAUCACUACAUCAACAGUCAACAUAUGUUCACACAGUGAUAAAGCGUGGUACAAAAACCUGUGUCAGUCAGAGUCACAGUGACUGAACUGAUGCUGCAGCUGCUCAAACACUAUCACUCACUCUAUUAAACUGUGAUCUGUCCUGUAACAGAUGGGCUUGACUCAACUAUGCUCAGAUUCAGAGAAAACAGAGAGUGUAAUCUUAUA